rnacentral:RNase_P_RNA from 1 species
GCAGUGUCCCGGCCUCGUCGCUGGCCCAUUAUCACUCGUGACUUGGGCGAGAGGAAAGUCCGGGCAGCAUAGAGCACUCCGCUUCCGAAAAUAGGAGUUACCGGUGACGGUAAGAUCGGGCAGAAGAAAAUAACUGCAUCUCUUGGCUUUAGCCCUAACUCGUUUAUCGCUAUUGCCGUGGGGGUGUCAAGGUGAGAAGGUGAGGUAAGAGCUCACCAGGCUGGUGGUGACAUCAGUGCUGUGUCCACCGGAGGCUGCAAGUUCGCGUAUACCAUCGUCUGAGGGCUGCUCGCCCGAUGUCUUACGACUACGGUGGAGGGUAGAACGCUUGAGCCUGAGGGUAACUUCAGGACUAGAUAAAUGACAAGGCACACCGCAUUUCGAGAGGCUUGCGGAUGUACAGAACCCGGCUUAUAGGGACACUGCUCUC